rnacentral:rRNA from 1 species
CGUAGGCGGGGAGGUAAGUCGGGUGUGAAAUCCCUCGGCCCAACCGAGGAACUGCGCCCGAGACUGCUUCUCUUGAGUCCCGGAGAGGAAGAUGGAAUUCCCGGUGUAGCGGUGAAAUGUGUAGAGAUCGGGAGGAACACCGGUGGCGAAGGCGGUCUUCUGGACGGUGACUGACGCUGAGGCGCGAAAGCGUGGGGAGCAAACG